rnacentral:rRNA from 1 species
AUUGAACGCUGGCGGCAGGCCUAACACAUGCAAGUCGAGCGGAUGAGGGGAGCUUGCUCCUGGAUUCAGCGGCGGACGGGUGAGUAAUGCCUAGGAAUCUGCCUGGUAGUGGGGGAUAACGUCCGGAAACGGGCGCUAAUACCGCAUACGUCCUGAGGGAGAAAGUGGGGGAUCUUCGGACCUCACGCUAUCAGAUGAGCCUAGGUCGGAUUAGCUAGUUGGUGGGGUAAAGGCCUACCAAGGCGACGAUCCGUAACUGGUCUGAGAGGAUGAUCAGUCACACUGGAACUGAGACACGGUCCAGACUCCUACGGGAGGCAGCAGUGGGGAAUAUUGGACAAUGGGCGAAAGCCUGAUCCAGCCAUGCCGCGUGUGUGAAGAAGGUCUUCGGAUUGUAAAGCACUUUAAGUUGGGAGGAAGGGCAGUAAGUUAAGACCUUGCUGUUUUGACGUUACCAACAGAAUAAGCACCGGCUAACUUCGU